rnacentral:rRNA from 1 species
UAGCAAUACGUCAGUGGCAGACGGGUGAGUAACACGUGGGAACGUACCUUUUGGUUCGGAACAACUGAGGGAAACUUCAGCUAAUACCGGAUAAGCCCUUACGGGGAAAGAUUUAUCGCCGAAAGAUCGGCCCGCGUCUGAUUAGCUAGUUGGUGAGGUAAUGGCUCACCAAGGCGACGAUCAGUAGCUGGUCUGAGAGGAUGAUCAGCCACAUUGGGACUGAGACACGGCCCAAACUCCUACGGGAGGCAGCAGUGGGGAAUAUUGGACAAUGGGCGCAAGCCUGAUCCAGCCAUGCCGCGUGAGUGAUGAAGGCCCUAGGGUUGUAAAGCUCUUUUGUGCGGGAAGAUAAUGACGGUACCGCAAGAAUAAGCCCCGGCUAACUUCGUGCCAGCAGCCGCGGUAAUACGAAGGGGGCUAGCGUUGCUCGGAAUCACUGGGCGUAAAGGGUGCGUAGGCGGGUUUCUAAGUCAGAGGUGAAAGCCUGGAGCUCAACUCCAGAACUGCCUUUGAUACUGGAAGUCUUGAGUAUGGGAGAGGUGAGUGGAACUGCGAGUGUAGAGGUGAAAUUCGUAGAUAUUCGCAAGAACACCAGUGGCGAAGGCGGCUCACUGGCCCAUAACUGACGCUGAGGCACGA